rnacentral:sRNA from 1 species
UUUCAACCAGAGGACGCAAGAGCAUUUCUGC